GUACACGCUGUGACUAGCAUAUCAAUAAGCGGAGGAAAAGAAACUAACAAGGAUUCCCUUAGUAACGGCGAGUGAAGCGGGAAGAGCUCAAAUUUGAAAUCUUCAAGGUUUUACCUUGACGAAUUGUAGUUUAAAGAAGUGUUUUCUGCUGAAGUUUUGGUAAAAGUUCUUGGGAAUAGGACAUCAUAGAGGGUGAGAAUCCCGUAUUUGACCUUUACUUUCAACUUUGUGAUACACUUUCAAAGAGUCGGAUUGUUUGGGAAUGCAGUCCAAAAUGGGUGGUAAAUUUCAUCUAAAGCUAAAUAUUGGCGAGAGACCGAUAGCGAACAAGUACCGUGAGGGAAAGAUGAAAAGAACUUUGAAAAGAGAGUUAAACAGUACGUGAAAUUGUCAAAAGGGAAGUGUUUGACACCAGUGUUGUUUUUCUGAAAAUCAAUUAAAGAACUGUUUAUGCUAAGUUGUUUAGACUUUAUCAGCUAUCUGUUUAGUUUUGAGCUUUUCUUUAAUGCACUUUUCAGUUAACAAGUCAACAUCAAUUUCUUUUGCUGUAAAAAAGCUUGAGGAAGGUGGCUUGAGAUUCGUCUUAAGUGUUUAUAGCCUCUUGCCUAUGCAGUCGGAGAGAUUGAGGUCUGCAGCGUAGAUCCUUCGGGGCUAAAUGCAUUUGUGCUAAGUUAUACCAUUUCAUAAACAACUUGUUGAUUAUGUUUUGUCUAUUGCAUACUCGCUUGUACUAUCAUACCUACGCUUAGGAUGUUGACGCAUGAGAUAUACGC
rnacentral:rRNA from 1 species